ensembl:lncRNA
CUGAUCUUCAAUGUGUUCUGAUUCCUACUAGCCAGCUUUGUAAGAGUUAGGUUUGUACUAGUUAUGCUGAUGAUCAUUCGUUUUUUCUCUGCAUCAGGUCUCACUGAAACUGGAUUCCCCAAGAGACAUGCUAUUCAGCUGCCCAUAGUGGCUGAUCAUACACUCUUAGCAAAAAAAGGUGUAAAACCCUUGUGUCCUGGUUCAACAGACAUGUCCCUUGGUGACUACCUCAUGAAGCUGGUUGAGAGAAUGCCAAGAGUGUGCAAAGCUGUCAUCAAGGCAAAGGUUGGCUACUUUGAAGAAUCUCAAAUAUAAAAUAUAUUUUGAUUUGUUUAACUCUUUUUGUGGUCACUACAUGAUUCCAUGUGUUUUAUUUCAUAGCUUUGAUGUCUUCACUAUUAUUCUACAAUGUUGAAAAUAGUCAAAAUAAAGAAAAACCCUUGAAUGAGUAGGUCUGUCCAAACGUUUGACUGGUACUGUGUGCAUAUGAGCAAGUUGCUCCUUUUUGAAGACAUCUAAGCUAUAACUGCCACAAUCUUCUUCAACUAGUACCAUGGAAAAUCAUUGAAAAUACCUUUAGCCAGCUGAGUUCACAAAGUUUCUUCACGAAUGUCCUUUUCAAAAAAAAAAUGUAAUCUCAAAUGUAUAAAGUUGUAAUUUGCUGAUUCUCUUCACUGAGAUCUGAC